UACCAGCACCCCGAGUGGUCGGGACGAUUAUUGGGCCUAAAGCAUCCGUAGCCGGUUUUACAAAUCCUCCGUUAAAUCCAGCUGCUUAACAGAUGGGCUGCGGAGGAUACUAUAAGACUAGGAGGCAGGAGAGGCAAGCGGUACUCAGUGGGUAGGGGUAAAAAUCCGUUGAUCCAUUGAAGACCACCAGUGGCGAAGGCGAGUCCCUGGACAACACCUGACACUGAGGCACGAAAGCUAGGGGAGCAAACAGG
rnacentral:rRNA from 1 species